rnacentral:rRNA from 1 species
CCUACGGGCUGCUGCAGUGGGGAAUAUUGGACAAUGGGCGAAAGCCUGAUCCAGCCAUGCCGCGUGUAUGAAGAAGGCCUUCGGGUUGUAAAGCACUUUCAGUGGGGAAGAAAGCCUUGGGGCUAAUACCCUCGAGGAAGGACAUCACCCACAGAAGAAGCACCGGCUAACUCCGUGCCAGCAGCCGCGGUAAUACGGAGGGUGCGAGCGUUAAUCGGAAUUACUGGGCGUAAAGCGCGCGUAGGCGGUCUGAUAAGCCGGUUGUGAAAGCCCCGGGCUCAACCUGGGAACGGCAUCCGGAACUGUCAGGCUAGAGUGCAGGAGAGGAAGGUAGAAUUCCCGGUGUAGCGGUGAAAUGCGUAGAGAUCGGGAGGAAUACCAGUGGCGAAGGCGGCCUUCUGGACUGACACUGACGCUGAGGUGCGAAAGCGUGGGUAGCAAACAGGAUUAGAUACCCCAGUAGUC